UACGUAGGGGGCAAGCGUUGUCCGGAAUCAUUGGGCGUAAAGAGCGUGUAGGCGGUCCGAUAAGUCGGUUGUGAAAGUCCAGGGCUCAACCCUGGGAUGCCGACCGAUACUGUCGGACUAGAGUUCGGAAGAGGCGAGUGGAAUUCCCGGUGUAGCGGUGAAAUGCGCAGAUAUCGGGAGGAACACCUAUGGCGAAGGCAGCUCGCUGGGACGUUACUGACGCUGAGACGCGAAAGCGUGGGGAGCAAACAG
rnacentral:rRNA from 1 species